rnacentral:SRP_RNA from 2 species
GCUGGGCGUGGUGGUGGGCGCCUGUAAUCCCAGCUACUUGGGAGGCCGAGGCGGGUGGAUCACCUGAGGUCAGGAGUUCUAGACCAGCCUGGCCAACAUGGUGAAACCCCGUCUCUA